rnacentral:rRNA from 1 species
UGGGGAAUUUUGGACAAUGGGCGCAAGCCUGAUCCAGCAAUGCCGCGUGCAGGAUGAAGGCCUUCGGGUUGUAAACUGCUUUUGUACGGAACGAAACGGUUCUCUCUAAUACAGGGGGCUAAUGACGGUACCGUAAGAAUAAGCACCGGCUAACUACGUGCCAGCAGCCGCGGUAAUACGUAGGGUGCGAGCGUUAAUCGGAAUUACUGGGCGUAAAGCGUGCGCAGGCGGUGAUGUAAGACAGAUGUGAAAUCCCCGGGCUCAACCUGGGACCUGCAUUUGUGACUGCAUCGCUGGAGUGCGGCAGAGGGGGAUGGAAUUCCGCGUGUAGCAGUGAAAUGCGUAGAUAUGCGGAGGAGCACCGAUGGCGAAGGCAAUCCCCUGGGCCUGCACUGACGCUCAUGCACGAAAGCGUGGGGAGCAAACA